rnacentral:lncRNA from 1 species
AGCAACCCUUCUACACAGGCAUAAACCCAACUCAUUUCCUCUGGGGUCUGAUUUCAGCUGGAGUUGGAACCUGUCAGGACAAGGAACAAGACAACCAGGACAGGAGCAAUGAAACAGAGCUGAGAGCUGAGAUACUCAUGAAUAAAUGAAGUAUACAGGCUUCCCACUGGAGUGAACAGAGCUUAUGGAUGCACUUGAGUGCUUUGCUGAAGCAGGGCCAGCCUGGGUGAAAACAUCUCACCCAGGAGCCAGUCUCACCUUCUCUGGAGAUAUUUUCAAGACACAGAAGAGGAAUUUGAUCCAGAUCCCUCCUGCACAUUCCACCACACACCUUGGGUCUGAGCUCCAAACCACUGAGGGCAGCUGGAUGACUCCACUGCAGUUCAGGAACAAAACCUUGGAUCACCUGAGGACUGAGCUUUACCUACCAGGCAUCAUCUCAAGGCAGAUGAUUGCAAGAGCUUUGAUACUUUAG